UGAAGCUUAGCUCAGGGACAAAGCUUCUGCCUCGUAUGCAGAAGUUCCCAGGUUCAAUCCCCGGUGCCUCCA